rnacentral:rRNA from 1 species
GGGCCAGCAGCCGCGGUAAUACGAAGGGACCUAGCGUAGUUCGGAAUUACUGGGCUUAAAGAGUUCGUAGGUGGUUGAAAAAGUUAGUGGUGAAAUCCCAGAGCUUAACUCUGGAACUGCCAUUAAAACUUUUCAGCUAGAGUAUGAUAGAGGAAAGCAGAAUUUCUAGUGUAGAGGUGAAAUUCGUAGAUAUUAGAAAGAAUACCAAUUGCGAAGGCAGCUUUCUGGAUCAUUACUGACACUGAGGAACGAAAGCAUGGGUAGCGAAGAGGAUUAGAUACCCUCGUAGUCCAUGCCGUAAACGAUGUGUGUUAGACGUUGGAAAUUUAUUUUCAGUGUCGCAGCGAAAGCGAUAAACACACCGCCUGGGGAGUACGACCGCAAGGUUAAAACUCAAAUGAAUUGACGGGGAA